CUGAAAAACGCGUCAAAACAGUUAAUAAACAUUUAAAAUCGUAACCGUCUGAAAAACGCGUCAAAACAGUUAAUAAACAUUUAAAAUCGUAGCCGUCUGAAAAACGCGUCAAAACAGUUAAUAAACAUUUAAAAUCACUUUCUUUAUUCACCAUCAUGUAACUCAUUAUUUAAAAUAUCAAUACAUCGGGUUUUGAAUGGUUUAAUUUGGACAAAAGAAAAAGAAGCAAUAAUAAUAAAUGAAGAACUUCUGGGUCAGUUUGAUGUCACUUCCUGUUACUUUAUGUUUCCUGGUCACUGAGGUCACUUCCUCUUUACCACCUGAGAGUCCAAAGAAGCACACACAUGGUCUGAAUCUGGAUUAAACACAACACAUGAAUGUUUCACCAGGCAGUGGUGAGUUCUUUAUCUCUGUUUUGUUUUUCGCAUAUUAACAUUUGUAUGUUAGCUCAUUAGAUUUUGUUUGUUAGCAUGUUAGCCCAUUAGAUUUUGUUUGUUAGCAUGUUAGCCCAUUAGAUUUAGUUUGUUAGCAUGUUAGCCCAUUAGAUUUAGUUUGUUAGCAUGUUAGCCCAUUAGAUUUUGUUUGUUAGCAUGUUAGCCCAUUAGAUUUUGUUUGUUAGCAUGUUAGCCCAUUAGAUUUAGUUUGUUAGCAUGUUAGCCCAUUAGAUUUAGUUUGUUAGCAUGUUAGCCCAUUAGAUUUUGUUUGUUAGCAUGUUAGCCCAUUAGAUUUUGUUUGUUAGCAUGUUAGCCCAUUAGAUUUAGUUUGUUAGCAUGUUGGCCCAUUAGAUUUUGUUUGUUAGCAUGUUAGCCCAUUAGAUUUAGUCUGUUAGCCUGUUGAUUUAACAAUGUUUAUUUAGAGAUGAAUGAUUUAUUGAUUUAUUGUUUGAAUCCAUUUCUUAACGAUUGAUUUGGUCGCUUACAAUAAUGAUUGUUGAAUUUUAUGAACAUUAACUGAUUUCAUUUAAAGGCUUGAUUUAUUUCACCUUCUGAUCUUUUGUUGUAAAGGAGAGUUUUUGAUGGCGAGUUUAGAACCAGGACCAGGACCAGGACCAGGACCAGACUGUGAACCUGCAUGUUUUCAGACCUGAGUCCAGUUCAGCUUCCAAACACUAAAUAUGCUGCAGAGCUCUCACAGCACACAGCGCCUCACACUCCUGCCGGCUCUGUCUUCCAUUCCCUGGUUGUUGAGGAUCAGCGUCGCCUCCUCCUGGUGAGACCUGGGCACCAGCAUCUGGUCCAUAGUGGUGUCGUGGA